UGGGGAAUAUUGGACAAUGGGGGAAACCCUGAUCCAGCGAUGCCGCGUGAGUGAUGAAGGCCUUCGGGUUGUAAAGCUCUUUCAGUGGGGAGGAUAAUGACGUUACCCACAGAAGAAGGACCGGCUAACUUCGUGCCAGCAGCCGCGGUAAUACGAAGGGUCCUAGCGUUGUUCGGAAUUACUGGGCGUAAAGGGUGCGUAGGCGGUUUAUUAAGUCAGGUGUGAAAUCCCCAAGCUCAACUUGGGAACUGCAUUUGAUACUGGUAAGCUAGAGAUCGGAAGAGGUGAGUGGAAUUCCUAGUGUAGAGGUGAAAUUCGUAGAUAUUAGGAAGAACACCAGCGGCGAAGGCGGCUCACUGGUCCGAUACUGACGCUAAGGCACGAAAGCGUGGGGAGCAAACA
rnacentral:rRNA from 1 species